UUUAUACUCUCAGCCAAUUGCAAAAGCUGCUUCCUUUCCUGUCCCACCUACCACUUCCUCUCAUUUUGUCUCUGUCUCUUUCGUCAUUACUCACUCACUCUGUUCCUGUACUCGCAGAUCAGCGUGCUUGGCUGAAAAUGGAAUUGAUGAGCUGGGAGAAAACAAUUGCUUUGGACCAAUGCCAUGUUCCAGAUAUGGGGAGCAAUGAGCUGAUGGUGGAGAGGCUGGAGACUGACUCCCCAACCCCACAAAACAAUUGGGGCUGAAGUGGACAAACAAAGUAACUGAAUCUUGAAAAUGGGCCGAAAUGAAACAUCCCGGACCUGAGCACCCAAGCCAGUAGGGUAAGGGUCUCCAGGUGGAGUUGGGAAGCCCGGGAGCCCAUGCUGGAACACAAGGAAUUUGGGGACAGGAACUCUGAAAACAAAAUUGGCUGGUUUUGCUUCUCCCUCCUCACCCUGGAUCCCUUAUAGGAAUCACAAAUGGUGUGUGUGUGGGAUAUCAGACUUGACUACCCUUUGUGGAAUCCUAUGCGUAAGGUGAAUUCCCUUUAUGUAAUGGAGAUCUGCCUACCAGACUACAAGUGCAUUAGCAGUGCAAACCAUGCUAUGCUGCCAGAAACCAAGGGGACUCUUCUGACAGAAGAAGAAGAAGAUGAAAAGUUGAACUGUGAAACAUUUCAGAACUGGGCUUGCUGCAGUUCCAAGGAAGCAUUCACCCACAUGGGCAGCUCCAAGUAACAGCUCAUUUCUCUGGACUACAAUUCUGAGAAGUGUUGAAUCCCCUCUGAGCUACAGGGACAGUUUAUGUAAAGAGGUUUAGCAUGGUGAGUGGAGUAUACAUACACACAGUGAUACAGACACCAUAGAGCCCUGCACAAAAACCUUGAACAUAACAAACACUCUUUUUCCCUCAGGCAAAUGUCUAGCCCUUGGGGUUUUUGCCAUUUUCAGAGGAAGUUACAUGAAAAGACAGAAGAAAGGGCCAGGAAAUGUUCGUCAAUGUUUUUGUGUAAAAUAAAUAAAUAAAUAAAUAAAAUCUUAAUUACGAUUGAUUUAUUUAAAUCCCUUGUUUUUCGUUUAUUGUGACGGGAAAGGGAGAUAUUAUGCAUAUGUUAUUGUGUUGGUUUAAUAAUAAUAUUUUAAAUACUUAUUUUACCUUUGCACAUUUCUUUAUAUGCUGUCGAGUGCACAUGCCUAAUUACUCUAUACAGGGUUUUAUCCUCAUUAGUUAAAUUAAAGAAGGAAAACAUCCAUAACUAUUUUUAUUAUUUUCAGAACGGAGGGUCACCUUACUACAUGGUCCCACAUACGGCAUGUUGCUGUUCUUUGGGACCCCUAAUCAAUCCUCCUCAACCCACUGGCAGAUCUUGGCUUUGAGGAACGGAAUUUGUUUCUGAAAGCAGGAAAUUUUGGGAGUCAAGCAUCAAAAUUCUUCUGUAAGGCCCUGAUCCUACAGAAACUGAGCAUGUGUUUCAGUUUACACAUUGUAAUAGAUCCACUGAAAUGUUAAUAGGGCUAUCCAGCGGGACAGAUCCUCAGCUGGUGUAAAUUUUCAUAUUGGCUUCAAAGGUGCCAGGACCCUUUACACCAACUGAGAAUCUGCCUCAGGGUGUAGGAAGUUGAGCAUGUUUGUAAGUCUUUGCAGGACCAAGGAUUCCAUAUUUUAAUUAUAAAGGCUCGAAGAGACAACAAAAAUCAUGCCUCUUUGAGCUAAUUUUCUUGUUCUGCAGCUAAAAUGUAAAUCACCUUUUGCAUGGAAAAGGUUUUUGAUUUAGCACAAGAUUACAGCAGAAACUGGAGAUGAAUAAUUAAUCUAACCCAGACUCAGAAUAAAAUAAAUACACCCUAGCAGUUGUUUCAAUUUUUUCUAGAGAGGUUCUUGCACAGCUGUAUAGCACUGUGGACUCCGAUGCUGUCUUUAAAUGGACCAAAGUCUCUCUAAUACCAAGAGAUCAAACACCUUCCAAGCCCUCCAUCUCCAUUAUGGAGUCAGAAAAUGAGAGCAUUGCUGCUUGCCUGGCGAAAGAUUUCUACCCUAAAGAGCUGAAGAUAUUCAUGAAUUCUAACAGUGAAAUUAUAUAUGAAGCAACAGACCCGAUCCUCACAUCUAGUGGGAAAUACAGUGCUGUCAAAAUUGUCAAGUUCUCUUCAACUGAACUAGUGUCUUGCUACGUUCAACAUAACGGCAAAAUGAUUAAGAAAACCCAAACAGCUGAGAAGCCGCCAGAUUUCACAUCUCCUGCUCCAACGAUCAUUGUGCCUGAGCCGUGCAACAUUUCAACCCCCAGCCUCGAAGAUUUCACAUCUGCUCCAACAAUCAUCGUGUCCGAGCCGUGCAACAUUUCAACCCCCAGCCUCGAAGGUUAGUACCCAAACGAGUGAUUAUGUUGCUGCAAGACUUUAUGGCCAACAGGCAACUUG